rnacentral:rRNA from 1 species
GACGAACGCUGGCGGCGUGCUUAACACAUGCAAGUCGUACGGUAAGGCCCUUUCGGGGGUACCCGAGUGGCGAACGGGUGAGUAACACGUGAGUAACCUGCCCACAACUUUGGGAUAACGCUAGGAAACUGGUGCUAAUACUGGAUAUGUGCUCCUGCUGCAUGGUGGGGGUUGGAAAGCUCCGGCGGUUGUGGAUGGACUCGCGGCCUAUCAGCUUGUUGGUGGGGUAGUGGCCUACCAAGGCGGCGACGGGUAGCCGGCCUGAGAGAGUGACCGGCCACAGUGGGACUGAGAUACGGCCCAGACUCCUACUGGAGGCAGCAGUGGGGAAUAUUGCACAAGGGGCGCAAGCCGGAUGCAGCAACGCCGCGGGCGGGAGGACGGCCUUCGGGUUGUAAACCGCUUUCAGCAGUGACGAAGCUUUUUGUGACGGUACCUGCAGAAUAAGCACCGGCUAACUACGUG